GUUGAUGGUAGUUGUCAAGAUUUUUGAAAUGUUAGUCAGUGCCAGGAAUUAGGUGGUUGGUAAAACAGCGUCCCAUUCCUUGGCUUCAGUGAAAUGACAUCUUAAAAAGGGUUUGCUCUGUGGAUUGCAUGAAGAAAGGUGGAAGGGACCUGCUGCCCCUCCAACUGCCCCUCCAGGAAACGAUGGAGGAGUCAGAUAAGAAAACGGAUGUUUGCAUUCAGAACGAUGAGUGCUGUGGUGAAGAUUAGGUAUGCCAUUGUUGCUGCCAUGUGGCGGCGCACCCGUGCUUCUUAAACGCACUGACUGGAGGUUUAUCGCAUCACUUGUUCACAUGCACGGAGCCUGGUAACAGCCUCAUCUGUAUCUUGUUAGCUUCAUUUUCUUAUUUUUAAAAUUUCAUUAUUUAUAAACUCAACAUAGCAUUUAAAAAUAAAGGCUAGUUUUAAUGAAUUAAUGCUACUACAAAAAGUCAUUGCUAAAAUUUUCAUACUGAAACAGAUUUUAACUUUUGU
ensembl:lncRNA